UAACUUGUAACCACAGAAAACAUUCAUUUGUACUGAAAUGAUAAGGAAUAAAAUGUUUAAAUAUAUUCACCAUUUCUAUUUUUUGUUUUCUUGUGGUCACAGCUAUAAAUUUACUAUGUCUACUUUUUUUUUUUUUUUGCUCACAACUAAGGGGAAUUAUCAUUAGUCAUCAUUAUAAAAGGACCAAAACAUUUCCUUGCCACAACAAAGCUCCUUAACACGAGGAUAUCACUUCACUUCCGUCAGGCGGAGGUGGAGUGAGAUGGGGAGGUAAAGUCUGGUGUUAUUGUCAUGGAAAAAUGGAUGGAGUGACCAAUGAUAGCAAAAAAAAAAAAUUAUUAACUUUGUCAGUGUCAUGUCCUGUCUAGAUAUGGUGACGGUCCUGCCCUUCAGUUUCCUCCAGAGAGAAAACAUGCCGUGUGUGUGUGUGUGUGUGUGCUGAGACACAGCUUGAAGAAGUAGAGACUGAAGAAAUGUCAGCUGUGUGUCUGAACAUAAAGAUCUGUCUGCACAUCAUUAGGUAGUGUGUGUGCCGUGUAUGUGUGAGACAGGACGAGAAGGAACGCUGAUUCCCUUUAGCGUGACUGACACUGAUAAUCUCUGUCUUUGACAGCUGACGCUGAGCGCGCACACACACACACACACACACACACCUCCCAUGACCCACGCCUACACUAAGCAACCAGAAGGGCAAGAAUGUAGACGGACACAAAAAAGACAGCAACACAGAGAGGAAGACGGUGAAACAACCUGCUGAGACAAGUGGACAAAGACAGAAACAUGCAUCCAGCAAGAUGAUAGCAAAAGAAGAAAAGAGACCAGUCACUCACAAGGUUGAAUGAAAGUUACCAGAGAGUGUGAGAGUGUUUCACUGGAGGGUCCCAAGGCCCAGCACCGCAAAGAUCAGGAAGAGGGCGGAGCAGCAACCAAGGAUGGAGCCGAACAA